AUGGAUAAAUGGGAUCUAAAAGAAGCAUCUCGAGUUCUUCAGGAAAAUGAAGAUGCUAAAAAAGAAAGUGAAAGACAGUUUCAGGAAUAUCAUGUUCAUAAGUCGGCAAUCGUACCUAGGUUUAUAGAAGUCUUCAACACCAUACUAGGACAAACAAUGAAUGCCAAGGGUACAAGAUGGCAGAUUCAUACCGUGCAAGAUGUUCUAGUGGUAGAAAAGGGAGAAUCAACAUUUGCUAUUUUAAAGCUUGCAUUCCUCUACAAUGGUGAAAAGUUUGUCGAAGACCUGGAAGAUUUGACAGAUGAGGUCGAAGACUGGAGGGCAGAGGCAAUGUACAUUCUCUUAAGUAGCGAGAUGAAUCAAGUCAAAGCUAGUGAAAUGGGUGACGAGAUUAGCAAGAUCUUGAGCAAAAAUGAAGACUAA
rnacentral:rRNA from 1 species